CCCCAGCUCAGGUUAGAACACCUGCUAAGUUUAAGCAUAUAAUUAAGCAUAGGAAAAGAAACUUACAAGGAUUCCCCUAGUAACGACGAGUGAACCGGGAAGAGCCUAGCAUGAAAAUCAAGUGGUAGUGUCUCCUGAAUUGUAGUCUGUAGAAGCAUCCUUAGUGGUCGACUGGGCCCAAUUCCCCUGGAAGGGGACGCCUGAGAGGGUGAUAGUCCUGUCGGGCCAGGACCCUGCCGCACCAUGAGGCGUUGUCAGCAAGUCGGGUUGUUUGGGAAUGCAGCCCUAAUCGGGUGGUAAAUUCCGUCCAAGGCUAAAUACGGGUGAGAGACCAAUACCAAACAAGUACUGUUAGGGAAAUAUGAAAAGGACUUUGAAAAGAGAGUUAAAGAGUGCUUGAAAUUGCCGAGAGGAAAGCAGAUGGAGGUCGACGAUGCAUCUCAGUCAGAUUCAGAACGACUCAAGCUGGUCCGUCGCUCGACUCUAGGUGCGAACCACCAUAGGCUGUUGCAUCGGCACAAGCGAAGGUGUAGUACUGCCUGUUGGUUUUCCAUUGUGGAAAUCGAGGAAUGAAGUGUGCACCCGUGGGGUGGGCCACUGUGCACCUGCACGCUCGUGGUGUUGGUUGGCGGGAUUUCCAUUCGACCCGUCUUGAAACACGGACCAAGGAGUCUAACAUGUGUGCGAGUCGGUGGGUUUGUAAACCUGCAAGGCAUAAGGAAGCUUAUGGGAGAGAAACCCUCUCCAUGGGGUGCAUUUCCGACCGACCUUGAGCUUGUGCGAAGGGUUCGAGUGUGAGCACACCUGUUGGGACCUGAAAGAUGGUGAACUAUGCCUGAGCAGGGCGAAGCCAGAGGAAACUCUUGUGGAGGCCCGUAGCGAUACUGACGUGCAAAUCAUUCAUUUGACUUGGGUAUAGGGGUGAAAGACUAAUCGAACCAUCUAGUAGCUAGUUUCCUCCAAAUUUUCCCUCAGGAUCGCUGGAGCUCACGUGCGAGUUUUAUCGGGUAAAGAAAAUAAUUAGAGGCAUCAAGGGUGUAAUUCCCUUGACCUAUUCUCAAAAUUUAAAUAGGUAAGAUGGUGCAGCUGCUCCACUGAGCCGUGCCAUGGAAUCGAGAGCUCCAAGUGGGCCAUUUUUGGUAAGCAGAACUGGCGAUGCCUGAUGAACCAAAAGUCGAGUUACGGUGCCAAACUACGCGCUAACCCAGAUCCAACAAAGGGUGUUGGUUGAUUAAGAUAGCAGGAUGGUGGUCAUGGAAGUCGAAAUCCGCUAAGGAUUGUGUAACAACUCACCUGCCGAAUCAACUAGCCCCGAAAAUGGAUGGUGCCGAAGUGCGCAACCUAUACUCGACCAUCAGAGCAAUUGCCAGGCUUUGAUGAGUAGGAGGACGCAGAGGUCGUUGAGAAACCUUAGGCUUGAGCCUGUUUGGACCGGUCCCUGGUGUAGAUCUUGGUGGUAGUAGCAAAUAUUCAAAUGAGAACUUUGAAGACUGAAGUGGGGAAAGGUUCCAUGUGAACAACACUUAGACAUGGGUUAGUCGAUCCUAAGAGAUGGGGAAGCCCUGUAUCAAGGGUGCACUCUGCACAAACAUCGAAAGGGAAUCAUGUUAGUAUUCCUCAACUGGGACAUGGUGGUGGAUGACAAUGUUAGGAAAUCCGGAGACGUUGUCGGGGGCCUCAGGAAGAGUUAUCUUUUCUUUUUAACAGCUUGCCCACCCUGAAAUUGGCUCAAACAAAGAUAGGGUCCAGCAGCUGGAAGAGAAUUGCACGUCUUGUGGUGUCCAAUGUGCCCUCGGCGACCCUUGAAGAUUUGGAGGACCGAGUACCGUCCAUGUCCGGUCGUACUCAUAAUCGCAUCAGGUCUCGAAGGUGAACAACCUCUGGUCAAUAGAACAAUGUACGUAAGAGAAUUUGGCAAAACAGAUCCGUAACUUCAGGAAAAGGAUUGGCUCUGAGGGCUAGGAAUAGGGGUCUGCGUCCUCAACCCGUGGGCUGUCGGAAGUCUGCCCGAGCUGCUAUCGCGACAAGGAUGAGCAGUCACGUGCCGAUUGGGCUAGGAACGUAGAAUGUCCUCUCACGAGGGAUUUUCCUUAGGAAGCGAACAGUCAACUCAAAAUUGGUAUGGACAAGGGGAAUCCGAAUUUUUAAUUAAAACAAAGCAUUGCGAUGGUCCCUGCGGAUGUUGAUGCAAUGUGAUUUUUUCCUAGUGCUCUGAAUGUUAAAGUGAAGAAAUUCAACCAAGCAUGGGUAAACGGCGGUAGUAACUAUGACUCUCUUAAGGUAGCCAAAUGCCUCGUCAUCUAAUUAGUGAUGCACAUGAAUGGAUUAACGAGAUUCCCACUGUCCCUAUAUACUAUCUAGUGAAACCACAGCCAAGGGAAUGGGCUUGGCAGAAUCAGCAGGGAAAGAAGACCCUGUUGAGCUUGACUCUAGUCUGACUUUGUGAAAUGAAUUGAGAGGUGUAGAAUAAGUGGGAGCCGUUUUCGGUGCAAGUGAAAUACCACUACUUUUAACGUUAUUUUACUUAUUCCAUGGGGUGGAGAUGGGGCAUUGCCCCUGUUUUUGGCCGUAAGACACGUUUCGACAGGUCGAUCCAGGCGGAAGACAUUGUCAGGUGGGGAGUUUUGCUGGGGUGACACAUCUAUUAAAAGAUAAUGCAGGUGUCCUAAGAUGAGCUCAACGAGAACAUAAAUCUCGUGUGGAACAAAAGGGUAAAAGCUCAUUUGAUUUUGAUUUUUAGUAUGAAUACAAACCAUGAAAGCAUGGCCUAUCUAUCCUUUAGACUUUCAGAAUUUGAAGCUAGAGGUGUCAAAAAAGUUACCACAGGGAUAACUGGCUUGUGGCAGCCAAGUGUUCAUAGUGACAUUGCUUUUUGAUCCUUCUAUGUCGGCUCUUCCUAUCAUUAUGAAGCAAAAUUCACCAAGUGUUGGAUUGUUCACCCACCAAUAGGGAACGUGAGCUGGGUUUAGACUGUCAUGAGACAGGUUAGUUUUACCCUACUGAUGAACCACGCCGCAAUAGUAAUUCAACUUAGUAUGAGAGGAACCAUUGAUUCACACAAUUGGUCAUCGCGCUUGGUUGAAAAUACAGUAGUGCAAAGCUACCGUGUGUCGGAUUAUGACUAAAUGCCUCUAAGUCAGAAUCCACGCUAGAAGCGGCACUUGUCACUCCUCGACUGUAUCUUGACCUACAGUAGGGGUGUCACUUCGGCACCCCCAGCGGAUCAUGUCACUUGUGAAUCUCGACCGAGAAGCAUCUCGAUCGGGGUAGCUUUGAAGUUCAAUUUCAAACGGUCAUUGAGAAGAAUCCUUUGUAGAGGACUUAAAUAUGCGACAAGGUAUUGUAAGUGGCAAAGUAGCCUUGUUGCCACGAUCCACUGAGAUUCAAC
rnacentral:rRNA from 1 species